GCCGAGGUAGCCAAGCGGCCUACGGCGCUGGUCUUGAAAACCAGUGGGGCUUCGCCCCACGGGAGUUCAAAUCUCCCCCUCGGCGCCA
rnacentral:tRNA from 2 species